GGGGAAUAUUGGACAAUGGGCGAAAGCCUGAUCCAGCAAUGCCGCGUGAGUGAUGAAGGCCUUAGGGUUGUAAAGCUCUUUUACCAGGGAUGAUAAUGACAGUACCUGGAGAAUAAGCUCCGGCUAACUCCGUGCCAGCAGCCGCGGUAAUACGGAGGGAGCUAGCGUUGUUCGGAAUUACUGGGCGUAAAGCGCGCGUAGGCGGUCUAUUAAGUCAGGGGUGAAAUCCCGGAGCUCAACUCCGGAACUGCCCUUGAAACUGGCAGACUAGAAUCUUGGAGAGGCGAGUGGAAUUCCGAGUGUAGAGGUGAAAUUCGUAGAUAUUCGGAAGAACACCAGUGGCGAAGGCGACUCGCUGGACAAGUAUUGACGCUGAGGUGCGAAAGCGUGGGGAGCAAACAGG
rnacentral:rRNA from 1 species